rnacentral:tmRNA from 1 species
GGGGAUGUAUUGGUUUUGACAUCAGAUUAAUCGAACAGUAAGCACGUGGAGCGUUGUUAGUAUGGCUCCUUAAUCUCAACUUUCAGCCUUAUAAAUGGCAAUAAUAACUAUGCACUCGCUGCGUAAUUAGCAAAGCUACAUUACCUUAAUCCAGGCUGCCAAGGUAGUAGUCGGACGAGUAUCCCGCUAUGGAUUUGCGCUUUCUAUUCCGUAGUAUAUGGGGUAUCAUUAAAGAGAGAUGCGGGCACGGACUCUUCUAAAGUGUCUUAAGAGAUAGAAGAUAAGGUUAUGAUAGCCUGUCUGUCGGCAGUCAUUUCCCAACAAUUAAAGACAGAAUAAACGUGUAGAAAGCUCUUUGGUGGUCUGGUUGGACGGCGGUUCGACCCCGCCCAUCUCCACA